GGCCCCAUGGUCAAGUGGUUAAGACAUCGCCCUUUCACGGCGGUAACAGCAGUUCGAACCUGCUUGGGGUCA
rnacentral:tRNA from 1 species